CAUCCUAGAGUGUACUUACACAAACCUAGAUGGUAUUGCUUACUACCCACUUAGGCUAUAUGGUAUACCCUGUUGCUCCUAUAGCUCCUACAGACCUAUACAACAUGAUACUGUACUGAAUACUGUAGGCAAUUGUGAUACAAUGCUACGACGAAAGGAAAAGGAAAAUGGAAAAAGACUAUCCAAAGAAUACUGAAGAAGAAUUUUCAGGAGUAAAUGGCCAAAUCGAUGCUGCUGUAGAAUUAAAUGGCUACAUUUACUUCUUUUCAGGACCAAAAACAUACAAGUAUGACACAGAGAAGGAAGAUGUGGUUAGUGUGGUGAAAUCUAGUUCCUGGAUUGGUUGCUAAAUAGAAAAGCCUAGUCUUCUCAAGCAAUGAGGAUGACUACAAGCAGCCUCUAACUGGAUCUUAAGGACUAAAGCAGAAUGUAGGAGAGGGAUUCUUCCAAAGGCCUUCAAAUCAAAUUAGAAUUCACUGAGAAUAAUAAUACUUCCAAUUUUUUUCAUAGUUGUAUAAUCAGAAUUUCAAUC
rnacentral:lncRNA from 1 species